GUGCUUUGCUUUGGCAGCACAUAUACUGCCGAAUUGGAACAGUACAGAGAAGGUAAGUGUGACUCCUGCACAAGCAUGAUACAAACAUUUCCUAAACAUUCCUUUA